UCCUGGGAGCAGAGAAGUUCUAUUUCAGUUGAGAGUUGAGGGGUGAUGAUGUCAGCCUGUGGCAGUUGGUGACUAUCUUGCUCUAAUAAAGGCAGAGCCAUGUGAAGAUGACACCAGUGGCAGAGCCCAGAGGUGGGGAAGGAUGACUUCUGCUGAUGUCACUGAGCACCAGGUACAGCCCUGCCUGAAGCUAUCUCCCUUUGGAUGUCUCAGUUAGGCUGUCUGCUGCAUGAGAAUGGAGACCUGCCUGCUUCACUACCUGCUAUGCCCGGUAUCUGGAACCCGCCCAACACACAGUAGGACGUCAGCGAAUGUGUGACGGGUGUGUGAUCACUGUAGGCCACAGAGAAAAGUCUUCCCAGCAGUGAUGAAACCCUGUGACAGAUCCUGUCCACAGCACCCUGCUCCUCCGAUCCUGACCCCAGGCUUUCCCAUGGUGUGUGACCCCGCAUGGGGUGCAGUCCCCUCCUCCAGUCUGACGUCAGUAAUCUUGGACCCGUUCUUGGAGCAGAGAAUUGAGUACCUUCCUAAAGUGCACGUUGACACUCCAUAUGUUUCUGCCAGUAUCAGCGAGGUUCAAUAUGUCUCAUGAAUGUCUUUUGAGCCUGGUAUUCUCAACAGAAGUCUCCAUGCCAGUGUUCUACAUUGUAGCAGAACAACUCUCAUCAAUGUGUUCGCAUCUCACCUCAAUUCGUGCAGCCAGCUUUUCUGCCAACUUCCUUCAUGUCUCCUAUAAAGUCAAAUUCUAAAGGACAGGGCAAGUCUGAAAGUACCUCGGAGCCUCACCUGUUAGCUGAUGACAGGCAGAUCUUCCACUAUCUGCCCUUUCAGAUUCUGGAAACUGACCCGUGAGCUCAGGCCAUUGCGCAGCACGAGUAUCUCGAACUUACACAUAUUCCAGAAAAAGAGACUUAAGCCAAGCUCCAUAGAGGGCGGUACCGCCUCCAUGACACUGAUCCACCCACAGAAUCCUGCCCAGUUACCUUGGAUCCACCAGCCACAACAAUCCUGGAGGAACACACCAAGAUUCCACCUGGAAUCCAACCGGUAACUGCCAUCCCCAAUGGUUGCUGCAUCUUGUCAGUGUUGGGGGAGGGGCUGCAUCAGUCGAGAGGUUCCAAAGGUAAAUGUGAUUCUCUCCAUUAGCGUCCCAUGAUCAGUUUUUUCUUCCCUCUACCCUUUUGUACAGAUCUGUAUACACAGUACUAACGGAGGGAAUUCUGUCCAUGUUAAGUUUAUGGUUUCACAUGUCUUUAAACUUUCUAACAGUUAACAUUACACAAAGACCCACUAUAAGAAUCUUUUGUUUGUGUAAUAUCCAUUCACCCACAAUGCAUAUCCGUCUGUUGCUUUUCUGCUGAAAUACACACUCUCUCAGAACAUGGAUCCAUUUGUUUCAUGGGGGCUGAAAUUCCUAGAAGUGAAACCAAUCCCAAUGUGCACUUUCCUGUCUGUCCCUUUUGC